rnacentral:rRNA from 1 species
UUUUCGUAGGUGAACCUGCGAAAGGAUCAUUAUCGGCACAUCCCGAGUUCCUGGAAAGGACAGGCGCGCCCUCCCGCGAGGAGCAGGCGACGCCGAGGUCGAGAAAGCAUGCGUGGUCGACGGCUCGGUUCCCGCGUCGAUGAAGGACGUAGCGAGAUACGAAAGGUGUUGCGAAUUGCAAGAUUUCGCGAGUCAAUGACCAUCCGAAUGCAUCGCCGCCCUCCCCUCGCCCUCGGGCGGAGGGAGGACGCGUCGGCGACAUCGCCCCGCUCCAGCGCUCUCCUCUCGACGGAGAGGCGUCCGUGGGCGGAGCACCCGACGGACGGUCGGAGUGUCCGCCGAAGCUCGCGCAGCCGCGCCGCGCGGAUUCGACAGACCCGCGGCCGAGCACGAGAGAUCGCUGCGAUGUCGUCGGCGAGGAAACCCGCUGAACUUAAGCAUAU